CCUGCCACGCCUCUCAACGAUGCGUACCACGGCGGGA
rfam:Bacteroides sp. An322 An322_contig_4, whole genome shotgun sequence.